rnacentral:rRNA from 1 species
CCCGGCUGACUUAAGCAUAUCAAUAAGCGGAGGAAAAGAAACUAACAAGGAUUCCCCUAGUAACUGCGAGUGAAGCGGGAAAAGCUCAAAUUUAAAAUCUGUCAGUCUUUGGCUGUCCGAGUUGUAAUCUAGAGAAGCGUUAUCCGCGCUGGACCGUGUACAAGUCUCCUGGAAUGGAGCGUCAUAGAGGGUGAGAAUCCCGUCUUUGACACGGACUGCCAGGGCUUUGUGAUGCGCUCUCAAAGAGUCGAGUUGUUUGGGAAUGCAGCUCAAAAUGGGUGGUAAAUUCCAUCUAAAGCUAAAUAUUGGCGAGAGACCGAUAGCGAACAAGUACCGUGAGGGAAAGAUGAAAAGAACUUUGGAAAGAGAGUUAAACAGUACGUGAAAUUGCUGAAAGGGAAACGCUUGAAGUCAGUCGCGUUGUUCAGGGAUCAACCUUGCUUUUGCUUGGUGUACUUUCUGAUUAACGGGUCAGCAUCAAUUUUGACUGUUGGAAAAAGGUCAGGGGAAUGUGGCAUCUUUAGAUGUGUUAUAGCCCUUGGUUGCAUACAAUGGUUGGGAUUGAGGAACUCAGCACGCCGCAAGGCCGAGUAAUUUUACUACGUACGUGCUUAGGAUGUUGGCAUAAUGGCUUUAAUCGACCCGUCUUGAAACACGGACCAAGGAGUCUAACAUGCCUGCGAGUGUUUGGGUGGAAAACCCGAGCGCGUAAUGAAAGUGAAAGUUGAGAUCCCUGUCGUGGGGAGCAUCGACGCCCGGACCAGACCUUUUGUGACGGUUCCGCGGUAGAGCAUGUAUGUUGGGACCCGAAAGAUGGUGAACUAUGCCUGAAUAGGGUGAAGCCAGAGGAAACUCUGGUGGAGGCUCGUAGCGAUUCUGACGUGCAAAUCGAUCGUCAAAUUUGGGUAUAGGGGCGAAAGACUAAUCGAACCAUCUAGUAGCUGGUCCU